AGAGUUUGAUCAUGGCUCAGGACGAACGCUGGCGGCGUGCUUAACACAUGCAAGUCGAACGGAAAGUGCCCAGCUUGCUGGGUGACUCGAGUGGCGAACGGGUGAGUAACACGUGGGUGAUCUGCCCUGCACUUUGGGAUAAGCCUGGGAAACUGGGUCUAAUACCGAAUACACCCUGCUGGUCGCAUGGCCUGGUGGGGGAAAGCUUUUGCGGUGUGGGAUGGGCCCGCGGCCUAUCAGCUUGUUGGUGGGGUGAUGGCCUACCAAGGCGACGACGGGUAGCCGGCCUGAGAGGGUGUCCGGCCACACUGGGACUGAGAUACGGCCCAGACUCCUACGGGAGGCAGCAGUGGGGAAUAUUGCACAAUGGGCGCAAGCCUGAUGCAGCGACGCCGCGUGAGGGAUGACGGCCUUCGGGUUGUAAACCUCUUUCAAUAGGGACGAAGCGUAAGUGACGGUACCUAUAGAAGAAGCACCGGCCACUACGUGCCAGCAGCCGCGGUA
rnacentral:rRNA from 1 species